UACGUAGGGGGCAAGCGUUGUCCGGAAUUAUUGGGCGUAAAGCGCGCGCAGGCGGCUAUUUAAGUCUGGUGUUUAAACCUUGGGCUCAACCUGGGGUCGCACUGGAAACUGGGUGGCUUGAGUACAGAAGAGGAAAGUGGAAUUCCACGUGUAGCGGUGAAAUGCGUAGAGAUGUGGAGGAACACCAGUGGCGAAGGCGACUUUCUGGGCUGUAACUGACGCUGAGGCGCGAAAGCCAGGGGAGCAAACGGG
rnacentral:rRNA from 1 species